UCACAAGGCUUUGAAAAACUGAAGUACUGUUGCAAUAAGUGCAUGAAUCCGAGAGGGUAAUAUGUUGAAUAAAAUCAUAAUUAAUUGAUCCUUCUGUAUUUUCCUUUACCCAAAGUCAGAAACUUUUCAGCAGCCCCUCAUAUAAUUGUGAUUA